rnacentral:rRNA from 1 species
AACGAACGCUGGCGGCAUGCCUAACACAUGCAAGUCGAACGAGACCUUCGGGUCUAGUGGCGCACGGGUGCGUAACGCGUGGGAACCUGCCCUUAGGUUCGGAAUAACUCCCCGAAAGGGGUGCUAAUACCGGAUAAUGUCUUCGGACCAAAGAUUUAUCGCCUUUGGAUGGGCCCGCGUUGGAUUAGCUAGUUGGUAGGGUAAAAGCCUACCAAGGCGACGAUCCAUAGCUGGUCUGAGGGGAUGAUCAGCCACACUGGGACUGAGACACGGCCCAGACUCCUACGGGAGGCAGCAGUGGGGAAUAUUGGACAAUGGGCGAAAGCCUGAUCCAGCAAUGCCGCGUGAGUGAUGAAGGCCUUAGGGUUGUAAAGCUCUUUUACCCGGGAUGAUAAUGACAGUACCGGGAGAAUAAGCUCCGGCUGACUCCGUG